rnacentral:rRNA from 1 species
UACGUAGGGUGCAAGCGUUGUCCGGAAUUAUUGGGCGUAAAGAGCUCGUAGGCGGUUUGUUGCGUCGGCUGUGAAAUCCCGAGGCUCAACCUCGGGUCUGCAGUCGAUACGAGCAAACUAGAGUGUUGCAGGGGAGACUGGAAUUCCUGGUGUAGCGGUGAAAUGCGCAGAUAUCAGGAGGAACACCGGUGGCGAAGGUGGGUCUCUGGGCAACAACUGACGCUGGAGGAGCGAAAGCCGUGGGGAGCGAACAGG